CGCGUUCGAUUCCGGAGAGGGAGCCUGAGAAACGGCUACCACAUCCAAGGAAGGCAGCAGGCACGCAAAUUACCCAAUCCCAGAACGGGGAGGUAGUGACGAAAAAUAACAAUACGGGACUCUUAUGAGGCCCCGUAAUUGGAAUGAGAACAAUCUAAAUCCUUUAACGAGGAUCUAUUGGAGGGCAAGUCUGGUGCCAGCAGCCGCGGUAAUUCCAGCUCCAAUAGCGUAUAUUAAAGUUGUUGUGGUUAAAAAGCUCGUAGUUGGAUCUCAGUUCGAGUCAGGCGGUCCACUUGCCAGUGGCUACUGCCUGACUGAACACUUUACCGAGUUGUCCUAUGGUGUUCUUCACCGAGCGUCAUAGGCGAUCGGUACGUUUACUUUGAAAAAAUUAGAGUGCUCAAAGCAGGCGUAACGCCCGAAUAAUGUUGCAUGGAAUAAUGGAAUAGGACCUCGGUUCUAUUUUGUUGGUCUUCGGAAUCAGAGGUAAUGAUCAAUAGGGACAGACGGGGACAUUCGUAUUGCGGCGCUAGAGGUGAAAUUCUUGGACCGUCGCAAGACGAACUAAAGCGAAAGCAUUGUCAAGAAUGUUUUCAUUAAUCAAGAACGAAAGUUAGAGGUUCGAAGGCGAUCAGAUACCGCCCUAGUUCUAACCAUAAACGAUGCCAACCAGUAAUUCGUCUGAGUUCCUUAAAUGACUCGACGAGGGACUUCCGGGAAACCAAAGUCUUUCGAUUCCAGGGGAAGUAUGGUUGCAAAGCUGAAACUUAAAGAAAUUGACGGAAGGGCACCACCAGGAGUGGAGCCUGCGGCUUAAUUUGACCCAACACGGGAAAACUCACCCGGCCCGGACACUGGAAGGAUUGACAGAUUGAGAGCUCUUUCUUGAUUCAGUGGGUGGUGGUGCAUGGCCGUUCUUAGUUGGUGGAGUGAUUUGUCUGGUUAAUUCCGAUAACGAACGAGACUCUAGCCUACUAAAUAGAUCGUCGGCUUACAAACGCCGGCGAGACUUCUUAGAGGGACAGGCGGUGAUUCAACCGCACGAAACAGAGCAAUAACAGGUCUGUGAUGCCCUUAGAUGUCCGGGGCCGCACGCGCGCUACACAGAAGUGAUCAGCGUGCUUUUUUCAACCUACUCUGUCAAGAGUGGGGAACCCAAUGAACCUUCUUCGUGAUUGGGAUAGGGGAUUGUAAUUAUUCCCCUUGAACGAGGAAUUCCCAGUAAGCGCGAGUCAUAAGCUCGCGUUGAUUACGUCCCUGCCCUUUGUACACACCGCCCGUCGCUACUACCGAUUGAAUGUUUUAGUGAGGUCUUCGGACUGGCCGGCGCAGCACUCUCGUAGUGCAGCGCUGUGUUUGGAAAGAUGCCCAAACUUGAACAUUUAGAGGAAGUAAAAGUCGUAACAAGGUU
rnacentral:rRNA from 1 species